rnacentral:rRNA from 1 species
GACGAACGCUGCCUGCGUGCUUAACACAUGCAAGUCGAACGGAAAGGCCCUGCUUUUGUGGGGUGCUCGAGUGGCGAACGGGUGAGUAACACGUGAGUAACCUGCCCUUGACUUUGGGAUAACUUCAGGAAACUGGGGCUAAUACCGGAUAGGAGCUCCUGCUGCAUGGUGGGGGUUGGAAAGUUUCGGCGGUUGGGGAUGGACUCGCGGCUUAUCAGCUUGUUGGUGGGGUAGUGGCUUACCAAGGCUUUGACGGGUAGCCGGCCUGAGAGGGUGACCGGCCACAUUGGGACUGAGAUACGGCCCAGACUCCUACGGGAGGCAGCAGUGGGGAAUAUUGCACAAUGGGCGGAAGCCUGAUGCAGCAACGCCGCGUGCGGGAUGACGGCCUUCGGGUUGUAAACCGCUUUCGCCUGUGACGAAGCGUGAGUGACGGUAAUGGGUAAAGAAGCACCGGCUAACUACGUGCCAGCAGCCGCGGUGAUACGUAGGGUGCGAGCGUUGUCCGGAUUUAUUGGGCGUAAAGGGCUCGUAGGUGGUUGAUCGCGUCGGAAGUGUAAUCUUGGGGCUUAACCCUGAGCGUGCUUUCGAUACGGGUUGACUUGAGGAAGGUAGGGGAGAAUGGAAUUCCUGGUGGAGCGGUGGAAUGCGCAGAUAUCAGGAGGAACACCAGUGGCGAAGGCGGUUCUCUGGGCCUUUCCUGACGCUGAGGAGCGAAAGCGUGGGGAGCGAACAGGCUUAGAUACCCUGGUAGUCCACGCUGUAAACGGUGGGUACUAGGUGUGGGGUCCAUUCCACGGGUUCCGUGCCGUAGCUAACGCUUUAAGUACCCCGCCUGGGGAGUACGGCCGCAAGGCUAAAACUCAAAGGAAUUGACGGGGCCCCGCACAAGCGGCGGAGCAUGCGGAUUAAUUCGAUGCAACGCGUAGAACCUUACCUGGGUUUGACAUGGAUCGGGAGUGCUCAGAGAUGGGUGUGCCUCUUUUGGGGUCGGUUCACAGGUGGUGCAUGCCUGUCGUCAGCUCGUGUCGUGAGAUGUUGGGUUAAGUCCCGCAACGAGCGCAACCCUUGUUCACUGUUGCCAGCACGUUAUGGUGGGGACUCAGUGGAGACCGCCGGGGUCAACUCGGAGGAAGGUGGGGAUGACGUCAAGUCCUCAUGCCCCUUAUGUCCAGGGCUUCACGCAUGCUACAAUGGCUGGUACAGAGAGUGGCGAGCCUGUGAGGGUGAGCGAAUCUCGGAAAGCCGGUCUCAGUUCGGAUUGGGGUCUGCAACUCGACCUCAUGAAGUCGGAGUCGCUAGUAAUCGCAGAUCAGCAACGCUGCGGUGAAUACGUUCCCGGG